rnacentral:rRNA from 1 species
UCCCCUAGUAACUGCGAGUGAAGCGGGAAAAGCUCAAAUUUGAAAUCUGGCAGUUGUCAACUGUCCGAGUUGUAAUCUAGAGAAGUGCUACCUGUGCUGGACCAUGUACAAGUCUCCUGGAAUGGAGCAUCAUAGAGGGUGAGAAUCCCGUCUUUGACAUGGACUGCCUGUGCGAUAUGGUGCGCUCUCGAAGAGUCGAGUUGUUUGGGAAUGCAGCUCAAAAUGGGUGGUAAAUGCCAUCUAAAGCUAAAUAUUGGCGAGAGACCGAUAGCGAACAAGUACCGUGAGGGAAAGAUGAAAAGAACUUUGGAAAGAGAGUUAAACAGUACGUGAAAUUGCUGAAAGGGAAACGCUUGAAGUCAGUCGCAUCGGCCAGAAAUCAGCCUUGCUUUUGCUUGGUGUACUUUCUGGUUUCUGAUGGGUCAGCAUCAAUUUUGACCACCGGAUAAAGGCCUUGGGAAUGUGGCAUCCUCGGAUGUGUUAUAGCCCAUUGUUGUAUACGGUGGUUGGGAUUGAGGAACUCAGCAUGCUCCGCAAGGGGCCAGGUCUUUUUUUGACCAUGUUCAUGCUUAGGAUGCUGGCAUAAUGGCUUUAAUCGACCCGUCUUGAAACAC